CCAUAGCCCUGAGUGAAAUGGAAUUCCUUAUGCAAUGGCCUUGCAUUUUUUUCUUGACGAUAAAGAGCGACUCAAAGAAGCUCCUUUAUUGUCUUAGAAAAAAUCAAGGAUAUAAGUAAGAAUGAAAUGUAAGGCAGGAAAAAGC
rnacentral:sRNA from 1 species